rnacentral:rRNA from 1 species
GACGGACGCUGGCGGCGUGCCUAACACAUGCAAGUCGAACGGAGAUACGAUUUCGGUUGUAUCUUAGUGGCGAACGGGUGAGUAACGCGUGAGCAACCUGACUCUUAGAGGGGGAUAACACCUGGAAACAAGUGCUAAUACCGCAUAAGACCACGACCCGACAUCGGGAUGAGGUCAAAGGAGCAAUCCGCUGAGAGAGGGGCUCGCGUCCCAUUAGAUAGAUGGCGGGGUAACGGCCCACCAUGUCCGCGAUGGGUAGCCGAGCUGAGAGGCUGAUCGGCCACACUGGAACUGAGACACGGUCCAGACUCCUACGGGAGGCAGCAGUGGGGAAUAUUGGGCAAUGGGCGCAAGCCUGACCCAGCAACGCCGCGUGAGGGAAGAAGGCUUUCGGGUUGUAAACCUCUGUCCUUGGUGACGAAAAAAAUGACGGUAGCCAAGGAGGAAGCCCCGGCUAACUACGUG